rnacentral:rRNA from 1 species
UCCACGCAGUAAACGAUGAUAGCUCGUUAUCGGCGAUACACAGUCGGUGACUUAGAGAAAUCGAUAAGCUAUCCACCUGGGGAGUACGUUCGCAAGAAUGAAACUCAAAGGAAUUGACGGGGGCCCGCACAAGCGGAGGAACAUGUGGUUUAAUUCGAUGAUACGCGAGGAACCUUACCCGGGCUUGAAAGUUAGUGACGGACUUGGAAACAGGUCUUCCCUUCGGGGCACGAAACUAGGUGCUGCAUGGUUGUCGUCAGCUCGUGCCGUGAGGUGUCGGGUUAAGUCCCAUAACGAGCGCAACCCCUGCUGAUAGUUGCCACCAGGUAAAGCUGGGCACUCUAUCGGGACUGCCUCUGUAAGGAGGAGGAGGGUGGGGAUGACGUCAAAUCAGCACGGCCCUUACGCCCGGGGCGACACACGUGUUACAAUGGUAGGUACAGAGGGCAGCCACCCAGUGAUGGGGAGCAAAUCUCAAAAGCCUAUCUCAGUUCGGAUUGGAGGCUGAAACUCGCCUCCAUGAAGUUGGAUUCGCUAGUAAUCGCGCAUCA